rnacentral:SRP_RNA from 1 species
CCGUGCUAGACGGAGAGGUAGCGGUGCUCUGUAACCCGCAAUCCGCUAUAGCGGGGUUGAAUUCCUGCCUUCGGGUUACAUUUGUGAGGUCUGCCUCCGGUAAGUGGCGGUGAAGGCUGGGUCCUGUGCAACGGAAAUUCAUGAACCCCGUCAGGUCCGGAAGGAAGCAGCGGUAAGUGAAAACUUCCGUGUGCCCCAGGGUCGCCUGGCCAGAGUUAACUGCCGGAGUAACGCUUGGAAAUGUAAUUCAACGGUAGGUGCACGG